CUUCCAACAUUCGAUGCUCUGUGCUCUCUAUGUCUUGAAGUAGCUCCCAAAGUCCAUCAGCUCCUAAAGGUUUUGUUGGCACCAUUCCCUCUGAGUCACCUUUGUUCUUUGUAUUCAGAUGUCUUGUCUUUCUCUCUUCAUGAAGGAAGUAGGCUUACCACCAAGGUCUUUCUCUGGCUGCACACCAGGAGUUUCUGAACAGCGGUGGGCCCACCUUGCACUAACUUAGCUAAUUCUUCUAUGACUCUGCUCAAGGAGAGUUGGCAUUUCACCUGCAGAAUUACCAAGCAGCUGUUUCUUGGCUGCAGUUGUAUUUUUGUUGGAUAGCUCUUUCUUUCACGUAAGCACUUUUGUCAACUAGCUAAUGUGUGUAGCAUUGGGAGACAACUUUAUCUAUCUGUGGUGAACCGAGUAUUGUACACGGUGCGGUGGUUUGAGUGAGCAGCGUCCCCACAGGCUGGUGCAUUUGAACUCACGGUCCCUGCUGUGGGUGCUGUUUGAAGAGGUGACGACGGAACUUUUAGGAUGGGGAGCCUUCCUGGAGGAAGUGGGUCACUGGGGUCAGACUUGGAGAAUGUAUAGUCUUGCCCCACUUCCUGAGUGUUGCCCACUGUGUUUUCUGCCUCCUGUUUGUGACUGAAAAUGUGAUCUCCAGCCUUCCUGCUCCGGCUUCCCACUGCCAUGCCUCCCUCAGAGGGCGAACUCUCUAUGGAGAAACUCUUCCAGAAGUUGCUUUCGAUGUUUUCUCACAACGACAAAAGGUAACUGGAGGCUGUGUGCUCCCUUGCUGAGGUGAUGGUGAGAGUCAAACAACAUAAGCCGGCAUUGCAGAGCCUUCUCCACCCGCUGUGCGAGCAGCUUUCAUUGCAACAUACAUGAACACUUGUCUUACAUGAACAGACAUGAACAGACAGCAGCUGUCACCAUGGUAUCGCUUCAUUUCGCUUAAAAAAGGAUUUACUUUAUGUUUAUGCACCAGAAGAGAAGAGGGCGCCAGAUCCCAUUACAGAUG
rnacentral:sRNA from 1 species